AGAUUUGACAGUUCUGACAGAAAUGUCAACAAACAAGCAGGCUCCGAUCAACCCGGAAAAAGGAAGUGCAAGAGCUUAAAAAUAGUUGUUUCGGUGUGCAUUCCUGGGAAUUCGACUUCAAAUACAACUGAUAGCAAAGAUUGGGGAAAUCGUUUUGAUAACUGCAGUAAAAGAGAGUUACUCAUAAAUCAUUGCAAUUCCUACAGGCGAGAUGCUGUUCACGUUAACUGGCUAUAGUUUACGUCGUCGAGCCGCGCGUCACUCCUGGGCUGAAGAAGAGCUGGCGAGAUAACUCUUUGUUUAAUGCCUGGGUUGCAGCCAGAUCUUAUCUGUCCCUGUGUCACCUCUGAAAUGACCUGACACUGAAUGUUCACCACAAUCAUAAGACAAUGGCGAGAAUAGCAUGGUAUCAAGAGAAGAUCGGUGCAUAUGAUCAGCAGGUUUGGGAGAAGUCUCUGGAACAGGCUGAACAUAAUGGCAUGGCCUGUAAACCAAAAAGGUCCGGUCAUGUCAAGCCAGACCUCAUUGAUGUUGACUUAGUAAGAGGGUCUACAUUCGGCAAGGCCAAGCCCGAUAGUCCAUGGACGGCGUUGACCCGUAAGGGCCUGGUCAGGGUGCUCCUCUUCCCCUUCUUCUUCCAGUGGUGGAUCCAGGUGACCUCCAGGUCCAUCUCUACCUGUAUCCUGGUGCUCUACUUCAUGCAAGUGGCAGCAGCAAUGUUGUACGUGGAGGUUCCUGCAGCCAGUGCUAGUGAGCAGUUGGGGCCAAUGUGUCUUAUGUUAUUGCUGGGGACAGUGCACUGCCAGAUAGUGUCCACUGAGUCCAACCGGAGCCCUUCAGUCAGUCCUGUCAGCAGCACCAGCCCUGCACGCAGGAGGAGGCUAAGGAAGGGUAAAGGAUUGAAGAGGACAGAGGGACAGGUCAACGACAGGGACACUGAGCUGCAGCCUUGGCAGCUGGAGGAAAACCAGAGGUUGUACAGAUCAGAAGAGAGGUCAAAUCAGAAAAAGUCGGGCUUUGGGGCCUCUGAUGAGCUUUCCAGUGAGGAGGAUGAUAAGGAAGCAAAACCACCCACUAGUGUAGCUGGACCAACACCUACCACUGUCCUCAGGAAGAGACACCUUCACUCCUUCUCAAAUCCCUCACCACCUGAGGAGGAAAGUAGUGGAGGUGCCAAGGACACUAAGGUGAACCCUCGUGAAGUGGAGCACCUGAGGACCGAGGGCUCGCGCCCGGCCUCUGACACAGAUGAUACGAUGUGGGAGGAUCUUCUUCAGGGGCCUGACUCCGCCACCACUGGCAGCAGUGACAGUGAGGGGCGGUACUGCCCUGGCCUGACUCUCCCCCCAUCCACCACUCUCAGCAGUGAUGAUGAGAACCUACAGCAGGGUCAACUAUCGUGGCUGCAGGCGUGCCACCCAUCCAGAGACCGGGUCAGUGCUAUCAUUUGGGAGCAGGGGGAGUGCAAGAAAGCAGACAUGUCAGUACUGGAGAUCAGUGGGAUCAUCCUCACACGGGUGAAAGUGGUGGAGCAGGGCAUGGGAUACCUAGCCCUGGGGGGGUUGGUCACUGCCACACUGGUGCUGCUUCCCUUUGCCUUCCGCCUGGCACAGCGGCUGGACAUGACACGCCUGAGCUCCCUGUCCCUGCCUGAGCUGGCUGUCAUGGCGGUGGGGCCGCCCGAUGCCAAGACCUACGCCUUCCUCUUCAUCACCACCGUGGAGAGGCUCUGCCUUACAGGCCUCUUCUUCUUCAUGAUGUGUGUGGCAGAGAGGACCUACAAACAGAGGCUUGUUUUCGCCAAACUCUUCAACCACAUCACAUCAGCACGAAAGGCCAAGAAGUCGGAAAUCCCCCACUUCAGGCUGAAGAAUGUGCAGAACAUUAAGAUGUGGCUGUCGCUCCGCUCCUUCCUCAAGAGACGUGGGCCCCAGCGUUCCGUUGAUGUCAUCGUCUCCUCCAUAUUCCUCCUGGCCCUUUCUAUCGCCUUCAUCUUGUGUACACAGCUCCUAAAGAGUCACCACACAUUCCUGGACUCCGAGACCAACUGGGAGCUCAUGGUGUGGGGCUCCUCCCUCAUCCUCUUCCUGCUCCGUCUGGCCACCCUGGGCUCCGAGACCAACUGUAAAUACAGCAACGUGUCAGUGCUGCUUACCGAACAGCCAGCUACAACUGGGUAUUCCACGUGGAGAAGCUUCUAGAAACAAUGGGGUAGUUCAACGCAGUCGUGAAAUGCAUGUGCGUGUCUCUUUGAUGUUUGUUUGAUGUUUGAGAGAACUUGAUUGAUGGUGUUUUUGGCCAAUAAAUGCAUGAUAUCCGUUGAGUGUUCACUACUUUAACAUAGAUGUGCUAUGAAAUUAAGCUAGUGAUGUUUCAAAUGUCCACUUUGGACACAUUUACCGAAAUAGUCCACUCACACCAUUGUGUUAGCUGAGACAUGCACCAUAGUUCACUGCCUUGGAUGGAGAAACACGUUGCAAAUACCAGCAACACCAAGCACCUCUGCGACCUUCAUUUCUUGAUCAUGGAUAUUAUAUUCAAUCUCCUCUGGAGGACUUGUGGGUCACACAGUUACAACGGGUAAAGUACUUGCAUUAGUUCUCCGAUCACAAGAAUGCAGCCAAGUAGGAUUCACAUCAACAUCAAAGCUCUUCUCUUUCCCUCUGGACAUGCACAGGUAUAAUUAAGUGCUUUGCAAUAAAAGUCUUAAAGGGGUACUGUCAGUAAUAAUGACUCAAUAUAGUUUCAGAAUAAAAGUAUGAUACAAAAAUCUAUGCUACAACUCUAUUGAAGCAAAAACUUUAUUAAUACAUCUCCCUCUCAAUUAUUUUCUUAUUUCAGAUCAACUUGUAUCUUAAGAUGGAAAAGAAGCCCAACAAGAAAGAAAAUUUGAACAUAGUGAACAAUGUUCUGAAGCUUGCAACAAAACUAAUGAAAGAGCUUGACACCCCCUUCCGACUGCUGGGGCUGACUGUGAACCCUCUCAUCUAUAACAUCACACGCGUGGUCAUCCUGUCUGCAGUCUCCGCUGUGGUCAGCGACCUGCUCGGCUUCAACAUCCGACUGUGGAAGAUUAAGCCUUAAUGUGACUUGCUAAACCACUAACUGUUGGAUACUGGAGACUCUGCCAACUCCUACCAUCUACAGCUGGCAAUCUGUGCAAAGUGUGCAAACCUACUGAGUGAUCGCCUAUGCAUCUCUGUGCCUUCCCAGAAACAUUGAACUUUAAAUCACACAAUACCAUUGUGGUCAUACACAAGCAUGAGCUCUUUACAAUCAAUGAUACACACAUCCCUGGCUACGUAAUCAUUGUAGCCUGAACUGAUCUGCUGCAGCAGUUCCAGUGCCAGGACCUGGACCUGGCCACUUCCUGGUUCUUACUCUGAGAAACAGUAGCCAAUGGGUGCCUAAUGAACACAGAAAAAUGUGUUGGCCAUUUCAAUAUGAACCAUUUCAAGACGUGGAAUAGGAAACAAGAAUGAACAAACUGUUAUGUAAGAAUGACAUUCCAGCGUGGUUUGACAUGUACUCGGCUGUUAGACAGCGUAAAAUACUUUUAAAAUGAAAAAUGUUAAUACAGAUCUUCAAAAUGGGUUACUGAACUAAAUUGAUUAAUUGCUUUUUUUUAUAGGAAAUAUUUAACUCUACUCUAAACCGAUUUUGUGAUAUUUUAAGGGCAACGUGCUGUAGCUUUUAUUGGGGCUUUAUUUAUUUGGGGUUUGUCUGUAUUUCAUUACUGACAUAAUGGUACACAUAGAUUGUAAUCUUUGGACCGCCAUCAUGGCCUUAGUACUGAAGACCAUUAUGUUCUGCUAAGCAACUAUUCACAGAUGGUAUAGUUUGAUUAAAAAAAUUAGGUUAUGUUUUAUUUCCUUUGAUAAUAAAUCUUUCACAAUGAUUUUA